GCCAGAGUGGCCGAGCGGUUCUAGGCGCUAGAGCCUAGAACGCUGCGGUCGCAGGUUCGAAUCCUGCCUCCGGCA
rnacentral:tRNA from 1 species